AGUGAACGCUGGCGGUAGGCCUAACACAUGCAAGUCGAACGGCAGCACAGUAAGAGCUUGCUCUUACGGGUGGCGAGUGGCGGACGGGUGAGGAAUACAUCGGAAUCUACUUUUUCGUGGGGGAUAACGUAGGGAAACUUACGCUAAUACCGCAUACGACCUACGGGUGAAAGCAGGGGAUCUUCGGACCUUGCGCGAUUGAAUGAGCCGAUGUCGGAUUAGCUAGUUGGCGGGGUAAAGGCCCACCAAGGCGACGAUCCGUAGCUGGUCUGAGAGGAUGAUCAGCCACACUGGAACUGAGACACGGUCCAGACUCCUACGGGAGGCAGCAGUGGGGAAUAUUGGACAAUGGGCGCAAGCCUGAUCAAGCCAUACCGCGUGGGUGAAGAAGGCCUUCGGGUUGUAAAGCCCUUUUGUUGGGAAAGAAAAGCAGCAGGUUAAUACCCCGCUGUUCUGACGGUACCCAAAGAAUAAGCACCGGAUAACUUCGUG
rnacentral:rRNA from 1 species